ensembl:lncRNA
CUGUCUUACAAACGGAAUGAAAUGUGCGUGCCGCCGUGGAAAGACGCCCACGAUGUUUGCACGGGAGGAGAGCAAACCCGAGGCCAAUGAGUGCAGUAUGUGCCCGUCCGUGUGGUUAAACAGAGAUGGGUGCGCGUGAGCGUGUGGGUGAAUGCACACUCAAAACAUCCAUGAAGAUGUACCCCGACUGUUAGCAGCCGAAAGGGGAAUGGGAUUUGCAGAUUAUUUGGAUUUUUAAAAAUUUGGAAGGAACAUAGAGUAAUUCUAUUCUGGAGACGGAGGAGGAGGGGAGGAGGAGGGGGGAGGAGGAGGGGAGGAGGAGGGGAGGAGGAGGGGGAGGAGGAGGGAGAAGAAAAACACUAAACCUGCCUUCAAAGAGGAAUUUUAUCAUCGGCGAGCAUUCUCCAAUGCCCUCAAAUGCAGACGCAGCUGACGCAGUCCCCCCGAAAGGGGUCAAGGGCCCGCGCAGCAGACGGCUGGGCCAGACUCUUGCAGACUGAGAACUAUCCAUCUUGGUCUCAAAGUCAGGAAGUCACUUGCUCCGCCUCUGUCAAUAACUCACGGCAGGGCUUAAUAAACUUUCCUUGCAGGAAGUUCUUCCUCUCAUCACAGCUAGGUCUUUCCUGCUGCCCUGUCAGCCCUAAUGGAUGGGGCACCUUUGCCACCCCACAUCCUUGGAGGCAGCGGCCAAGAGUGAAGACCAGGACAGGGACCCCAUGGAUUUUGCGCGGUGGCUGGCUGGCUGUUAUAAUUCAUCAUGAACGCAUCUCACUCCAAGCCUGGCUCCCCUGACAGAAGGAACAGCCGGUCUCCGAGAGGUCAAAGACAUUUUUCUCCCUUCGUCUUUCUCAGUUUCCAGCAUAGAUUUGUCACUCUGAGAAAGCAUGAAUUCUGGAUUUGAUGUACUUUAAUUGAUUUCACCCUCGACAAGUCAGACUGUCCAUCAGCUCGCUCCUUGGGCUUCCCUGAACUUUGCUUAAGGCUAAGGUUUUCAUCUGUCCCUGGACCCAAGCUGUCACCAAGCAAUUUACUCCCCUCUCCAGCCCCCAGGAGCUAUCUCAUUUUCAUUCCUGUAACUCUCCUGAGAGAAGAAGAAGAGAAGUGGGAUAGCACAGGAGAAAGAUGUUGGCUGAAAGCAAAUUAGUACAGGAUAAAAGAAAGAAGAAUGAAUGGGAAGGCCUUAUCAAUUGUCAGCUCUUCUGGUGAAUUUGCCUGAUUGCUUUGUCUGAAUUGCUAGUGGGAUGAGAUCAGGGGAAGAAUGGGUAUAUGGAUGGAUGGAUGGAUGGAUGGAUGCAUGGAUGGAUGAGUGAAUGGGUGGGUGGGUGGAUGGAUGGAUGCCUGGACAGAUAGAUGAAUGGAUGAAUAGAUGGAUGGAUAGCCAAAUGCAUACUUCGAUUAAUUGAUGAGCAAGCAGAUAGAAAGGCACACAGAUGAAUGUAUCAGUAAAGAAAAGAAUGCCAGGCACAAUCACUAAAAAUGUGAUUCAUCCAGUAGAACGUAAAACAUUUUUGUAUUGUCUUGCAUAUGCUAUAAACUGAAACAAGAAUGAAGGAUGAGAAAACAUACAUAGUCCCUGUCACCAAAGAGCUCACACUCAAAAAUAGGAAGAAGAACAUAUAACAAUAAGUCAGAAAAUAGUUAAUAUUAAGAACAUUUACAAUAUAGUAAGAGUAAAGAAGCGAAGGGGGCCGUGUGUCAGAAACAUCUCAUUAAAGC